GACGAACGCUGGCGGCGUGCUUAACACAUGCAAGUCGAACGAUGAACCGGGUGCUUGCACUUGGGGAUUAGUGGCGAACGGGUGAGUAACACGUGAGUAACCUGCCCUGGACUCUGGGAUAACCCCGAGAAAUCGGAGCUAAUACCGGAUAGGACCUUCUCCCGCAUGGGGGUUGGUGGAAAGUUUUUCGGUUUGGGAUGGACUCGCGGCCUAUCAGCUUGUUGGUGAGGUAAUGGCUCACCAAGGCGUCGACGGGUAGCCGGCCUGAGAGGGUGACCGGCCACACUGGGACUGAGACACGGCCCAGACUCCUACGGGAGGCAGCAGUGGGGAAUAUUGCACAAUGGGCGCAAGCCUGAUGCAGCAACGCCGCGUGCGGGAUGACGGCCUUCGGGUUGUAAACCGCUUUUAGUAAGGAAGAGGGGGAGCUUGCUCCUUGACGGUACUUGCAGAAAAAGCACCGGCUAACUACGUGCCAGCAGCCGCCGUAAAGA
rnacentral:rRNA from 1 species